rnacentral:rRNA from 1 species
GACGAACGCUGGCGGCGUGCUUAACACAUGCAAGUCGAACGGAAAGGCCCUGCUUUUGUGGGGUGCUCGAGUGGCGAACGGGUGAGUAACACGUGAGUAACCUGCCCCUGACUUUGGGAUAACUUCAGGAAACUGGGGCUAAUACCGGAUAGGAGCUCCUGCUGCAUGGUGGGGGUUGGAAAGUUUCGGCGGUUGGGGAUGGACUCGCGGCUUAUCAGCUUGUUGGUGGGGUAGUGGCUUACCAAGGCUUUGACGGGUAGCCGGCCUGAGAGGGUGACCGGCCACAUUGGGACUGAGAUACGGCCCAGACUCCUACGGGAGGCAGCAGUGGGGAAUAUUGCACAAUGGGCGGAAGCCUGAUGCAGCAACGCCGCGUGCAGGAUGACGGCCUUCGGGUUGUAAACCGCUUUCGCCUGUGACGAAGCGUGAGUGACGGUAAUGGGUAAAGAAGCACCGGCUAACUACGUG